AGGUGUGGUGGCGGGCGCCUGUAAUCCCAACUACUCAGGAGGCUGGGGCAGGAGAAUCACUUGAACCCGGCAGGUGGAGGUUGCGGUGAGC
rnacentral:miRNA from 1 species